rnacentral:rRNA from 1 species
GCUGUCGUCAGCUCGUGUCGUGAGAUGUUGGGUUAAGUCCCGCAACGAGCGCAACCCUUGUCAUUAGUUGCUACGAAAGGGCACUCUAAUGAGACUGCCGGUGACAAACCGGAGGAAGGUGGGGAUGACGUCAAGUCCUCAUGGCCCUUAUGGGUAGGGCUUCACACGUCAUACAAUGGUACAUACAGAGGGCCGCCAACCCGCGAGGGGGAGCUAAUCCCAGAAAGUGUAUCGUAGUCCGGAUCGCAGUCUGCAACUCGACUGCGUGAAGUUGGAAUCGCUAGUAAUCGCGGAUCAGCAUGCCGCGGUGAAUACGUUCCCGGGUCUUGUACACACCGCCCGUCACACCAUGGGAGCGGGUUUUACCAGAAGUAGGUAGCUUAACCGCAAGGAGGGCGCUUACCACGGUAGGAUUCGUGANCUGGGGUGAAGUCGUAANCAAGGUAGCCG